rnacentral:rRNA from 1 species
ACAACCGUGAUGCCCUUAGUAAUGGCGAAUGAAACGGGCAGAGCCCAGCAGCGAACUCCCGGACAUUUCGGUCGUGCGGAAUGUGGUGUUUGGGAGAGCCUCAUCGCAGUGAGUCGAGGCGUUCAAGUACACCUUGACUGGGAACACGGCCCGUAGAGGGUGAUAGGCCCGUGAGACCCUUGACUUGCUGCGAUGGCUUUUCCCUAGAGUCGAGUUGUUUGGGAGUACAGCUCAAAAUGCGUGGUAAACUCCACGUAAGGCUAAAUAUGACCCCGAGACCGAUAGCGAACAAGUACCGUGAGGGAAAGUUGAAAAGCACUUUGAAGAGAGAGUUCAAUAGUACGUGAAACUGUAUAGUAGUAAACGGAGGGGCUCUCGAAAUCGGCGGUGGCGGUUCAGGGUGACGGCGGGGUGGCCUGGGGGUUUGGGAUCCGCAAGGACCCUGCCUCUUUGUUGGCCCUGUCGGCGCCUGCACUUCGCUACCGCCUCACGCGACGAACCGUUCCUUUCGGACCGAGGGCGUGGGUGAAGUUUGUUGGCCUCAGUUAGCAAGCCCUGCGUUUCUGGCUCUGGAGGGGACGGGUAUUUGAGUGGUCUCGUAUAGCGAGUGAUAUCCUAUCACGGGCCGCAUCUCUGUCGCGAGUAGGUCGGUGGCCCUUUCGACCCGUCUUGAAACACGGACCAAGGAGUUUCACCUGUGCGCAAGCCAUUGGGUGUACUAAACCCAAAGGCGUAGUGAAAGCAAAGGCUCUUUGAGAUGAGGGGUGAUCCUUCACGGGCGCAACCCCGGAGCUUCGCAUCGACCUCGCUUCGUGCGGAGCAUCAAGAGCGUACAAGUUGAGACCCGAAAGAUGGUGAACUAUGCCUGGCCAGGUUGAAGUCAGGGGAAACUCUGAUGGAGGACCGUAGCGAUUCUGACGUGCAAAUCGAUCGUCGGAGCUGGGUAUAGGGGCGAAAGACUAAUCGAACCAUCUAA